rnacentral:tRNA from 1 species
AGAGAUGUAGCUCAGUGGUAGAGUGUUUGCCUAGUACAUACAAGGUCCUGGGUUCAAGCCCCAGCACUGCAA